GGGGGGGGGGGGGGGGGGGGGGGGGGGGGGGGGGGGGGGGGGGGGGGGGGGGGGGGGGCGUCUCUGGUGGUAGCGGCGGGCGGGGGGGUGACGCGUGGAGACCCUACCUGUAAGGCUGGGGUAACUUCGGGGACCCGGGGCGAAUCCCUGGUCCUCUUUUGGACCGCAGUGUUCACACGUUCACUGCGGUCUUGCUGUCCCUUAUAGCUGUCUCCGCGCUGCAUUAGCUAGUUGGUAAGGUACCGGCUUCCCACGGCAACGAUGCAUAGCCGACCUGAGAGGGUGAUCGGAAACAAUGGAACGGAGAAACGGUCAAGACUCCUACGGGAGGCAGCAGUAGGGAAGCUGCCGCAAUGGGCGAAAGACUGACGGAGCAACGCCGCGUGAGUGAUGAAGGUCUUCGGAUCGUAAAACUCUGUUAUUAGGGAAGAACAUAUGAGUAAGUAACUGUGCACAGAUUGACGGUACCUAAGCAGAAAGCCACGGCUAACUACGUG
rnacentral:rRNA from 1 species